rnacentral:rRNA from 1 species
GACGAGGGGUCCUAGCGUUGUUCGGAAUCACUGGGCGUAAAGCGUAUGUAGGCGGCCCUGCAAGUCAGGUGUGAAAUCCCAUGGCUUAACCAUGGAACUGCAUUUGAAACUGCAAGGCUUGAGUAUCGGAGAGGGUGGUAGAAUUCCUGGUGUAGUGGUGAAAUACGUAGAUAUCAGGAGGAACUCCGGUGGCGAAGGCGGCCACCUGGCCGAAUACUGACGCUGAGAUACGAAAGCGUGGGGAUCAAACAGG